rnacentral:lncRNA from 1 species
GGACAGUGUAGGCUAGCCUACAAACCACAGCUUUGAGAAAGAUAUUUCUGUUGUAUAGGAUAGCCUCACUAUGGGUGCAAAUAGAGUGUAUGCAAAGUUUUCUUUCCUUAUAGUACACAGUUAGUUAUAUCAGCAAACAUCUUUGUUUUAUUACUUUCCUUCUUUCACAUUUGAAUUUUCAAUCAAUUGUUGCCUUACCCAAGGACUUCAAGCCAGAUUUUGAAGACUACUCACCAGGUACUUUCAGUAUCAGGCUGCAAGUGACAAAAACGGGGACUGAACGUGUUAUGGUGAAGAAAAUACAUUCUGUUGAGUUAGCUGAAAGUUGACUGUAUCACAAGAACUCACUGCAAGUGGAGUAUGUGAAAUAGAUGCAGGU